AACGAACGCUGGCGGCAUGCCUAACACAUGCAAGUCGAACGGGAUCCUGGUUUCGGCCAGGUGAGAGUGGCGGACGGGUGAGUAACGCGUGGGAACCUGCCCAGUGGUGGGGGAUAACUGCGGGAAACGUAGCAGCUAAUACCGCAUGAGCCCGAAAGGGAAAGAUUGAUCGCCAUUGGAGGGGCCCGCGUUCGAUUAGGUAGUUGGUGAGGUAACGGCUCACCAAGCCUUCGACGAUAGCUGGUCUGAGAGGAUGAUCAGCCACACUGGGACUGAGAUACGG
rnacentral:rRNA from 1 species